GCCUCCUUUCUUUCUUGCCUCCCACGAUUCGAUCCAAUCCUCUUCCCCGACCCCUCCCUCCACCUCAUCUCCCCCGAUCCCAUGGGCCGGCGGCGACCUCCUCUCAACCAGCCCCCACCCAUCCAUCUCUCUAUCUCUCCAGCGUCCCCUCUCUCUCUCCCGUGGCGGCGCUCACCACUUCAACACCGUCGGCGACCACAACCAUGGCCUCCACCUCCCCUCCCCUCCCUGGCUAGAGACCCACUCCCUCCCCCGACUCCUCUCCCUCCCCCGACUCCUCUCCAAUGCCGCCGCUGGCGGACUACCACCCCCACCGGCGACCUCCCUCCCUCCCUUCCUCCUGAGAUCUACGGAUGUGGCAACAGCGGCCGAAACCCACCCAUCGCCCAUGGAUGGAUGGGGACGGGGCACCGACGGCGGAUCCGCACCCACCUUCUCUCGGGGGAUCCUGCCGCGAUGGCCCUGGUGAUUUGCUACUGCAUCGUCUACUGCUUCAACCACGACGCCGUCAUCUACUGCUUGAACCACGAUGUCGGUUCUUCGUCGACCUCCACCACGCGCGCUGGCAUCCGUCCAUCUCCGGCCAUGGUGACCGCGGAUCUCCGACCAUGAUGGGGUAAGGAGUUGAAAGGCGCAGGUGGUCAGGCCUGCAAUGAGUGCGCCCUCCUGGUCUGCCGCCCUUGCUAUGAGUAUGAACAUGAGGAUGGCGUACAACAAGGAGUUGACGGCCUACUCAAGCGCCAAGGGAAGGCGGCAGGCUGGCAGCGCCACCAAGAGCCCAACACGAACCUCCAAUAUUGAGUCCUACCUGUAAUUCACGGAUAAGGUUGGUUGUGCCCCUCUGCUGGAGGAUCUCAGUCCAACUACUCUGGAUGCAUCUAUGACAUGGUGGACAAGGCAGUAGAAGCAUGUGACAUGGCAGCCAAGGGAGUUGUUUUGUGGGAUGAAGUGUUGGUAAAGACAACAAGCCCCAAGGAUCUGCAUAUGCGUUGCAAGUAACUCUGCCGCAACCGCGGCCGGCUGUGCUUCUUCCUUGGCUACAAACCACCUAGGUGAAUGGAACUCCGUUGAGGACUUCUACCCAUGUUGAAGAGCAGCUAGCUUUUGUACUGGUAGAGCGGUCUAUUUGUAGAUCCCAUUAUUUAUGAUUGUGUGGAUCUGGGUGAAGUUUGAAGUUCCUGAGUAUGCAAGAUUCGAUGGUUAAACUGGUUGAUGUGAUGUGAAUGAUUGUAUGAAAACUGGUUGUUGUGAUGUGAAUGAGUGUAUGUAGUUUCACGUGUUCUGUUCUGUAUAGCAUAUUAUAAUAAACUUAUUUUAGCUAUUAUUUGAAGAUUUUCA